UUGAAAAUUAAAAUUGCAGGUGACGAUGGCCGUAUUUAUGCUGUACGAGGAACAAAAGUGUAUAGGUUUCGGUCCGACGUCAAUGGGGUUGAAAGAGGAAGAUACAUCAGAAGGGUGUUUCGUAGGGCUCCGAAAAACCCAGGCGCUAUAGUCAAGGCUAGAAACCAGCGACUGUACUUCUUCAAAGAUAAGAGGUUUUGGCGAUACACCCGAGGGCAGUUGGACAGCGGGUACCCAAAGGUUAUCAAAGGCGAAAGCAAUUGGUACAGGAAUGUCAAGGCCGCUGUGCUCUGGCGCGACGGAAAUGUUUAUCUAUUCAAGGGUUCCGAGUAUAGCGUUUGGACCGAAGGAUACACCCAGCCACCACGAGGGUAUCCCAGACCUGUAUCCUCCUUUUUCCCAGGUGUACCGACAAAUGUAGAGGCUGCCAUCCGCUACAAUCGCUAUACCUAUUUCUUCAAAGGACACAACUAUUUCAAGGUAGACGAUUACAGCCGACGAGUAGUGAGGGAUUAUCCUAAAAAGAAGGCUAGCGCGUGGUUAGGGUGCGGCACUCCUACCCCUAAAUAAAGACGCAUGGGCGUCAGUACAUCAUGAGUUUCUAUUUUCAGCGCAAAACAGACAUUUCGCAACGUAUUACAAUAUAAAAGACCAAUGGUGUGAACCAUUUUGUCCCUUUUGACAUUGUUCUUUCGCUUGUAUGCUUUCACUUACCGGUAUUCCCAUAGAACAGGAUAACUAAGUGUGUGCUCAAGAUGGGUUUCAGUAGGCUUUCAUUGUUGUUAUUAUUAUGUUUGAUUUUAAUGGAAGGGAAAAACAGCUAUUUCAUGAAGUAUUAUGGCGGAAAAGAAGUCCAUAUAGGUUACAAAUCGUCAAAGUUAAGUCUAACGGUAUCUGACAAUUGACAUAUCUCUACAUUGUUCAGUAAAUGUCGUAAUAUCGAUGUGUU